AUUGAGAGAAAAAAAAACUAAAAAAAAUUCUUCUUCAGUCUUCUUCCUUCUUCUCCUCUAUUCUCCCCUAUCCACCGCAAAAAAAAAAAUCUUUCUCCAUCGCGUCUCUUUUCUUUUCCGUUCCUUAUUUUUCAAGUUCUUUUUGAGAAGGAAGACUACUGCAGGUGAAGGCUUAUCAGUUCUAACGUGAUUUAGGGGAAGCGCCUUCUCAGUUAACAGGGGAAGCUAAACAAAAAACAAAAAUUGAUCUGAUUCAUUCCCAGCCCUGAAAUUCCUUCCUCGAUCUUCAUCAACAAGUUUUGAUCAAGGUGAUGGGAGACUGAAGAAUGGGUGUUCUGAUUUGAUUUGUCGUAGAACCAUGAGGUCCUAAGGAGCAAGGAGUGCAAAUCAUUUCAGCUCAUGACCAAGGAUUCAAAAGCACCAACGGGCUUGAUGCUUAAAACUAAGGUGUAGCAAAUUCGGUUGGUAAUACGCUGGAGAUUGAUGAAAAGGUCGUCUACCUGCAAACUGGAGGGGUUCUCUUCAAUAUCGGUGGUGAAACCGGGGUUCCAUUAUAUGAUUUCAGUCUAUCUAUUUCAUAUACACCAAAUGGGUUCAAUGUUGAGGGGAUGAAGAUGGCAGUUAACAACCACAAAUCUGGGGCUGUUCUGGUUGUCCUUGGUUCGUUGUUGUGCUUAAACGUUUGUGAAGAAUUGGAGCUUCUGUUGCAACGAAAAGAAGUACGGUUGCAGGGACAUCUAAUCGUGGGUACAAUACAUGGAAUGAGUCUCCUGUGCUUUAGGAUGCAAAGCGGUGUCUCUUCAUCACCAGCCAGGUAAGUAUUUUUUUUGAAUUGUUGUGCUAUUGUUGAUCAUAAGUAUUUUGAAUUGUUGUGAGAGAUUGAAACUAAUGUCGGGUAAGCUUUUAUACUUCUUAAUUCGAGUUUUUAUUCUACUGGAGACUUUAUCUUUUGCAGGGUAUGAGAAUGAAACACAACUAAAAAAAAGCGUAUGGGUGGUGGGAAUGACCAGCAAGGUGAUAUGUGCUGGUCCCACAACACAUAAAACCAAAAAAACACAUACCAAACUCUAAGAAAAAAGAAAAAACAUAACUCUUCGUUUCCUCAACUCUGUCUUUUGAUUUCGAAAAAAUUCUUCGCCUCCUUCACUGAAUCUUUAACCUUGGGUAAAUCUUUUGAUUUCAACAACCUAGCCCUAAUCUCUAACCUUGCGUCAAUCUCAAGUAGUUGUUUCGAGGAGGAUUGGGUUCUAUUUCGAAUCAACAGGUAAAUUGAAUUCAACCCCGAUCUCUUUCGAUCUCAACAGGUACACAAACGAUAACUCUUAACCAGGUAUGAAUUUGAUUUUUUACUAUCCUCUUUGCUUUGAUCUUGAUACUGUAGCUCAAGAUUUUGAUGAUUUUAUUAGGUUUUAAUCUAAGGAUUUCUAUUGUAAUCUGGGGUUUGGUUUUGGGAAGAGCUACUGAGAAUGAGUCUAAAUCGGUAAGAAUGAGAGUGGGUUAAUCGUAGAUGGGGGUUUGAGAGUUCUUGGAUGAUGAUAAGAGUUUGGUUGAGAUUGAUUUGCAACCAGAUGAAGAAAUCAAUCGAGAAAAAAAAUUCCAGGUUCAAAUAUUUCUCUAUUUUUUUCCCUAUCAAUUUCAAUUGAAUUUCGAUUUCAGAAUUACUUAUACAUUCAAUGGGGCAAUGGGUAGUUGCAAAGCUGUUGUUGGUGUUGCUACCAUAGAAGCUACAACAAUGGGGCAAUGGAUUCUGGUGUGUGCCAUAGGCCCCGGCUCUGUCCAGAUACUAUGAUCCAAUACUUUGAAACUCACUUUUUAUUGAUUCGGUACGUUAAAACUCACUUGCAUGGGUUGUUGUUGGUGAUGGAUGGCAAAGUGUCAUAGAUUAUGUGAACCUAGCCUGUUAUUACUUGGUCAGAAUUCAUGUUGUAAUGAUCCUCGGUUACCUUAUCAACAAAAGCUAAAUCCAGAGAUCGUCCAGACUUCAAACAACUAAUGAUAUGCUUCCAAUCCAGAGAACAAUCCUACAAUCCAGAAACCAUAAACUUUCCAGAAGCUUAAGGCUUUCCAUUAUGUACCUCUCCCUGUUCUACUUCUCUAUGUUUAAUUCAUCGUCGUUAUCCUUUAUUUUUAAAACUUUUUUUGAUUGUUGGUAGUGGGUUCUUUUACAAAUUUUGGAACAGUAAUUACGUAAACCCUAAUUUAUGUUCUACAACCACGGCAACCCUUUACGUAAACCCUAAUUUAUGUUCCAUGUGCAGUUGAGAUGAACAAAACUGGAUCAAGUAGAAAUUAGUUAGACUUGAUCAAGGUUGAAGGAUGAACUUUGUGGCGCUAUCAAACUUGAAGUCUAGAUGCAUUCUUAGGGAUUACAGGUAUUCAAGGUACGAUUUUUCGUCACACCAAAAUGGUGCUUGGCUUAUUACAGGGAGAAUUUCGCUUAUGAGCACUGGGAUGAUAUCCUCGACAUCCGUAAUCAAUAUUGAGGUGGCUUUAUCAAUAGGUGAUGGACUGAGGCCUGGAUCAAUUUAUGAUGCUAAUGACACCGCUCAAUUUGCUGAGCUUUUGACACAAGAAGAGUUACCACUUCGAGCGUGGGAGAAGGACGUACAGGUGAUGAAUGAAGGACCUGGGCAUAUUCCACUUCAUAAGAUCCCUGAAAACAUGGACAACAAGUCUACAAGGCAGAAAAUAUAGGUUUUGUGCUUAUAUACUGUCUAAAGCGUCUCUUCAAUAGUUUUUAUUCUUUACUCUAUAUUAUUUGCUUAGACUACAUUCAAUUUGUACAUAAUGAAUUUGUUUGAAUAGUCUUUCUUUUGUUUGCAACUUUUAAUAGAACCCUAAACAGUUAAUGUGGCAUUCUUUACUGCAAGGUUCUGGAAAUCCUAAAAGGAAUUCCCGCGGGGAUAAAAGAAAAAACAAAAGCUUGAUGCAAAAGGAUAAUUUCCUUAGGAGUGGUACAUUCUACAAAAACUACCCGUGCCUCCCAAUUUUCUCUCUGUACCAGAUAUUGUAGAUGAACUACUAUCAAAUCUUUAUAGUAAGUUGUUACCAAUUUUCUUCUUCAUUGAUUGUGUGUAUGUUUAGCUUCUGUCGUUCAGCUAAUAAACUUGGCAGUAUAUUAAAUCUGGAAAUUUGUUUAAGAAUAUUUUUGUGUAAAUGCUUAAGAAAGUUCUCAAGCUAGCUGAAAUCAACAAAAACUGAAUAUCAGGCCCUCCAAAUUUUAAGUCUCAUGAUGUGGAAGCCAAAGAAUUGCGCAAUACCUUCAAGUUAAGGGUAUAACUAAGGUAUGUGUAUUUUACAUUGGUUAGGUUGAUGAUGUCCUGUUACUUAUGCAAACUGUGAAUCACUAUUAACUGUUUUAUAGGACAGAAAAAGGAAUAGUUAUUGAACUCUUUUCAUGCUAUAAAUGGAGAAAUUGCUGCUCAUAUAUGAACUUGGUUAGCAUUUGUACGUCUACGGUUCCUUUCCCAAAUCCUUAUAUCUAGUUAGACGUGUUAAUUCUAACCCAAUUCUAGCUGGGAAAACUAAUGCCUUUCCAGUUCAUAUUGCUGCUCGGCUAGCUUCCAAAAGUAAUUGAUGUGGCAGUCAUUCGUUUCAUUGUCCAUAUAUAUUUGGUGAACUGGAAAGUAGUAGAUAUAUUCAAUUUUUCAGGACGCCUAUCGACAGCAGUAAAGGGCGAUACAAAGGAACGAUGAGGUCUAUAAUAAAGCUUAAGCAUUAUGCAGCAUCAAGAAUGGGAACUAUGAGAAACUAUGUAUAAAUCAACACCAACAUAUGGCGCUAGCCUUCUCGGUGUAGCUGUUACAUGUUCAUGACCCAACAAUCAUGAAUCCUAAAAAACAUUAUUGUUGAAAGAGGUUAACACAAGCGGAGAAUCGGUUUUAUCUAACUCAAAUAUAUAUCUAUUGUUUUUAUUUUUUGUAUACACAUUAUGUUUUAGUUCAUGUUCUAAAUGUGAGCUUAUUUUUCUUAUUUUUCUGUUAUAUGACAUUUAGUUAUAUCUAUUUUUUUGUAUACAGAGUUUGUGACAAAGCACACCUUCUUGGUUUUGUCGUACAAUUUCCUUCAUAUUUGUUGCGGUGCAUGUUAUGUAUCAUACGUAGUAUACACAAGUGGGGGAUUCAGGGGCAGUACCAGUUGCCAAAGCAUUCGAUUUUGCAAUGGCACUAUCAUUUAGAGAACUUUGCAGUGUAAAACCACUCAAUCAAGCUACCGGAUAAUUUCACGUUCUCUAUUGAACCACUUCCUUUCUCAGUUGAAGAGACAGAGUAUAAGUGCAUUAUGAUGGUGCUUUUCAUCGUCUCAAUGUUUUCUUAAAUGUCAUUUUUAUAUGCUUCUUCAUAUUAUAAUUGUUUAUAUUUUUAACGGCAGUUCAACAACAUGAUGAGUAGGAUAUCUCAGAAGUAG